rnacentral:rRNA from 1 species
GACGAACGCUGGCGGCGUGCUUAACACAUGCAAGUCGAGCGGUAAGGCCCUUUCGGGGUACGACGAGCGGCGAACGGGUAGGAGUAACACGUGGGUGGACCUCGCCCUCCAGCUCUGGGAGUAAAGCCUGGGAAACCGGGGUACGUAAUAACCGGAGUAUGACUCCAUGACGCAUGUUGGUGGGGUGGAAAGCCUUGUGCGGCUGAGGAUGGGCCCGGCGGCCUAUCAGCUUGUUGGUGGGGUGA